GUCUGGAUCGUCUAGGGGUUAGGACUCAGGAUUUUCAUUCCUGCAACACGGGUUCGAUUCCCGUUCCAGAUG
rnacentral:tRNA from 1 species